rnacentral:rRNA from 1 species
GACGAACGCUGGCGGCGUGCUUAACACAUGCAAGUCGAACGGAAGGGCCCUGCUUUUGUGGGGUGCUCGAGUGGCGAACGGGUGAGUAACACGUGAGUAACCUGCCCUUGACUUUGGGAUAACUUCAGGAAACUGGGGCUAAUACCGGAUAGGAGCUCCUGCUGCAUGGUGGGGGUUGGAAAGUUUCGGCGGUUGGGGAUGGACUCGCGGCUUAUCAGCUUGUUGGUGGGGUAGUGGCUUACCAAGGCUUUGACGGGUAGCCGGCCUGAGAGGGUGGCCGGCCACAUGGGGACUGAGAUACGGCCCAGACUCCUACGGGAGGCAGCAGUGGGGAAUAUUGCACAAUGGGCGGAAGCCUGAUGCAGCAACGCCGCGUGCGGGAUGACGGCCUUCGGGUUGUAAACCGCUUUCGCCUGUGACGAAGCGUGAGUGACGGUAAUGGGUAAAGAAGCACCGGCUGACUACGU